rnacentral:rRNA from 1 species
GUGAACGCUGGCGGUAGGCCUAACACAUGCAAGUCGAACGGCAGCACAGUAAGAGCUUGCUCUUACGGGUGGCGAGUGGCGGACGGGUGAGGAAUACAUCGGAAUCUACUUUUUCGUGGGGGAUAACGUAGGGAAACUUACGCUAAUACCGCAUACGACCUACGGGUGAAAGCAGGGGAUCUUCGGACCUUGCGCGAUUGAAUGAGCCGAUGUCGGAUUAGCUAGUUGGCGGGGUAAAGGCCCACCAAGGCGACGAUCCGUAGCUGGUCUGAGAGGAUGAUCAGCCACACUGGAACUGAGACACGGUCCAGACUCCUACGGGAGGCAGCAGUGGGGAAUAUUGGACAAUGGGCGCAAGCCUGAUCCAGCCAUACCGCGUGGGUGAAGAAGGCCUUCGGGUUGUAAAGCCCUUUUGUUGGGAAAGAAAAGCAGCAGGUUAAUACCCCGCUGUUCUGACGGUACCCAAAGAAUAAGCACCGGCUAACUUCGUG